rnacentral:lncRNA from 1 species
GAAAAUUUUAGUAAAUUAUAGUCAAUUUUUAUGCAAUGAAACUAUAUAGCUCUUUUUGUUAGAAAUUGUCUUACUAACUAAGCUGCUGGUGGUUCUGUGACGAAGUAGCUCCUGUUGGCUUCCCUUACACCGGGUCAGACACAGGACAUUAAUUAAGGCUGUGUGUGGUGUUUCUGAAAGGUGAGGAGACUGGGCAUUCUGUCUUUUACUCUACAGAUACAUCGUGGGAGACUCAAAGAUUAAAAUGUGGCCACUCACUGUGGAUCAGAAGCAGAAUCUCACAUCAUAACCCCAAAUGACCUGUUACUCACCAUGUGGCCCAGCUGUCUUCAAACUCACCAGCCUCCUGCCUUAGCCUUCUAAAUGCUUGGAUUACAGGCAUGACCCACCAUAACUGGCUUUGUUUUAGUUUCAGAGAAGAUGAAACUGAUGUGCGUCAAAAAGUAAACUACCCACAUUUUAACUGGGCACAUUCCUGUCAAUCUGAUGAGAAUCUAUUUCAUACCCUGCUUUAGCUGGUAGUCUGUCAAGGAAAUGAGCUGAACAUGUCUGUGUACAGCUUUUGUGCCAUCCCUGGAUGAGCGAGCUGUCUGCCUCUAUGUUCUCCACAAAAUGGAAUAUAGCUGUACACCCAAGCCAAGUUAUGGAGGCUGGGAAGACCUAGAAUGUGGCAUCACUAUUUGCUGAAAUUUUUAAUAUAAUGCCUCUUAGCCUGGUUUGGAGAAAACGUCACAGAGAGGCACCAUUUGUUGUGGUUUUACAUGAAAAUUUUCUGACCCUGAACCUGGUUUGAUGGAAAUCAUUUGCUGAGGUUAUUUAGAAAAUUGUUACCUCAAAAAUGACCUAGGGGUCCUUAGAAUAAUAACACACAGAAGAAUAGCCUCAUUUUUCUGUUGGGCCCAGGAAACCAUGCCGAUUACCGACCGAGCUCUCAAUGGAAAAAUGCAGUCGGCGUGAACCACGCACGAACACAGCAGAGAAAGAAGAAAACACACACCACGAGGAACCCUAAUAGGACAAUACAUUAUAAGCCUCAUGGUACAUCCACUUGGUGUGCUGGGAGAGUCAGGAUGAGGACCUGAGAAGAACAGCAGCUUGAACCUGACUUCAUUUAACAGCCCACUGCCCUCUUGCCAAGAACCCAUCACAGACCUUCCCAGAAGAGAGGGAUGAGCCUCACCUAUGAAUAAGUCCUCAGAAACUCAAAUUUGAUUCUAAUGGAUUGUUUUCUCAGAAAGACUGAGCAUGUCCCCCCACAUCUCUGUCAUUUCCCACAGUAGUAACCUCUGCAGAUGCCACAUAGAAAACAAAACAAAACAAAAAAACAUGAGGUUGGUGGGCAGAUAGGCAGGGUAUAAACAAACAGCCUUGUAACCCAGAAGCUGUGUGAUAUACAGUAAACUUCACAACACUGAAAAGAUGUCCUAUCUGUUAAAAUGGGGUAAUAACAACUACCCGAAUGUUUAGGAAUAGAACUUCAAUAAAUGAUACAUUUUAUAGUACAGCAGACCAUCCUGUAAAGGUUUCAUCCUUCACUGUGGUGAUAAAUAUCCCAAACCACAUUGAAAAGCAUUGCAUCUACAUUUAUCUACACUGUAACUGUACUGUAAAUCAUGGGGGAGGGGAGAAUCAUAAAAACACCACCUGUCACCGUGUCAUUAAAGCAAGUUGGAAGUGAUACUUACAGAAACACAGCAAGAGCACCCCCAGUCACACAGUUCAAUCUCUUAGCAAGCGUUUUCUUUCUAGCCCAGUGGUUCUCAGUUUGGAAUUUUUGGCACUGCCUAGAGAUAGUUUUGUUGUUAAAACUGAGAAAAGAGCCGGGCGUGGUGGCACACGCCUUUAAUCCCAGCACUCAGGAGGCAGAGGCAGG